rnacentral:rRNA from 1 species
CCUACGGGUGGCAGCAGUGGGGAAUAUUGGACAAUGGGCGAAAGCCUGAUCCAGCCAUGCCGCGUGUGUGAAGAAGGCCUUCGGGUUGUAAAGCACUUUCAGUGGGGAAGAAAGCCUUGGGGCUAAUACCCUCGAGGAAGGACAUCACCCACAGAAGAAGCACCGGCUAACUCCGUGCCAGCAGCCGCGGUAAUACGGAGGGUGCGAGCGUUAAUCGGAAUUACUGGGCGUAAAGCGCGCGUAGGCGGUCUGAUAAGCCGGUUGUGAAAGCCCCGGGCUCAACCUGGGAACGGCAUCCGGAACUGUCAGGCUAGAGUGCAGGAGAGGAAGGUAGAAUUCCCGGUGUAGCGGUGAAAUGCGUAGAGAUCGGGAGGAAUACCAGUGGCGAAGGCGGCCUUCUGGGCUGACACUGACGCUGAGGUGCGAAAGCGUGGGUAGCAAACAGGAUUAGAUACCCGAGUAGUC